GCACCUCGCUUACACCGAGGAGAUAUCCGUUCAAAUCGGAUCAUUUUGA
rnacentral:tRNA from 1 species